AUUUGACCUCAAAUCAGGUAGGAACACCCGCUGAACUUAAGCAUAUCAAUAAGCGGAGGAAAAGAAAAUAACAAUGAUUCCCCUAGUAACUGCGAGUGAAGAGGGACAAGCUCAAAUUUUAAAUCUAUCGGGUUUUACCUGAUCGAGUUGUAAUUUGAAGAAGCGUUUUUUGCGUAUUUGGUCAGCCUAAGUCCUAUUGAAUGAGGCAUCAUGGAGGGUGAUAAUCCCGUCCGGUUGAUCAUUUGCGUUUUACGAUACGCUUUCUAAGAGUCAAGUUGUUUGGGAUUGCAGCUUAAAAUGGGAGGUAAAUUUCUCCUAAGGCUAAAUAACGGCGAGAGACCGAUAGCGAACAAGUACCGUGAGGGAAAGAUGAAAAGAACUUUGAAAAGAGAGUUAAACAGUACGUGAAAUUGUUGAAAGGGAAACGAUUGAAGCCAGUCGUACCUUCGGGUAAUCAGCCUUUCGGGUGCGAUUCUGUGGAGUGUGAGGAGCUUAAACACCUUCAUGUUUUGCAUAUUCGUACUCUUGGGUGUACUUGCCCGUGUGGUUGGUUAACAUCAAUUUUGGUGGUCAUAAAAUGACUGGGGGAAUGUAGCUUCGAUCUUGUAUUGAAGUGUUAUAGCCUUCGGUAGAUGUGAUGAUCGAGAUUGAGGAUUGCAACGGAUACCCUUUGGGGCUACCUGUCUGAUCUCUGAUCGUUGCUUUGGUGCCGAAAGCUUGCUUACGGUUAUCAAAGUCGAUGGUCAAUAGGUUAGAACGGGUUAAAUUCGUUAAGGAUGUUGACGUAAUGGUUUUAAACGACCCGUCUUGAAACACGGACCA
rnacentral:rRNA from 1 species